GCGGGUAUGGCGGAAUUGGUAGACGCAUUGGUUUUAGGUACCAACGCUUCGGCGUGGGAGUUCGAGUCUCUCUACCCGCACCA
rnacentral:tRNA from 102 species